AGAGUUUGAUCCUGGCUCAGAUUGAACGCUGGCGGUAUGCUUUACACAUGCAAGUCGAACGGCAGCAUAGGUGCUUGCACUGAUGGCGAGUGGCGAACGGGUGAGUAAUGCAUCGGAACGUGCCCAGUCGUGGGGGAUAACGCAGCGAAAGCUGUGCUAAUACCGCAUACGAUCUAUGGAUGAAAGCGGGGGACCUUCGGGCCUCGCGCGAUUGGAGCGGCCGAUGUUAGAUUAGGUAGUUGGUGGGGUAAAGGCUCACCAAGCCGACGAUCUAUAGCUGGUCUGAGAGGACGACCAGCCACACUGGAACUGAGACACGGUCCAGACUCCUACGGGAGGCAGCAGUGGGGAAUUUUGGACAAUGGGCGAAAGCCUGAUCCAGCAAUACCGCGUGCAGGAAGAAGGCCCUCGGGUUGUAAACUGCUUUUGUACGGAACGAAACGGCGCGCUCUAAUAAAGUGCGCUAAUGACGGUACCGUAAGAAUAAGCACCGGCUAACUACGUGCCAGCAGCCGCGGUAAUACGUAGGGUGCAAGCGUUAAUCGGAAUUACUGGGCGUAAAGCGUGCGCAGGCGGUUUUGUAAGACAGGCGUGAAAUCCCCGGGCUUAACCUGGGAAUUGCGCUUGUGACUGCAAGGCUAGAGUACGGUAGAGGGGGGUAGAAUUCCGCGUGUAGCAGUGAAAUGCGUAGAUAUGCGGAGGAACACCGAUGGCGAAGGCAGCCCCCUGGACCUGUACUGACGCUCAUGCACGAAAGCGUGGGGAGCAAACAGGAUUAGAUACCCUGGUAGUCCACGCCCUAAACGAUGUCAACUGGUUGUUGGGAAUUUACUUUCUCAGUAACGAAGCUAACGCGUGAAGUUGACCGCCUGGGGAGUACGGCCGCAAGGUUGAAACUUAAAGGAAUUGACGG
rnacentral:rRNA from 1 species